AAAAGGCUGGAGCCGGAAGCGAUGGAGCCUGGGAUUGCCACGGAGCGACCAGACGAGGAUUGAGCAGGAAUGACCUUUUCGUUGGAAAUGAUAGAACAGAAAUGACUAUCUGGGAAGUGAUACCCAAGAUAAGAAAACCACCGAGUCACCCUUAGUGAAUUCACACCAGUUAGCCCAGAUGAUCUAAGUCCUUGGGUCCUGAAAGAACUAGCAGAUUCGAUUGCUGAGCCACUGUCGGUGACCUUUGAACAAGCAUGGACAUUGGAAGAGGAGCCAAAAAAUUGGAAAAGGGCAAGUGUUAUCCCAGUGAUCAAAAAAGAAGAGGACAGUCUGCAGACUGCAGGCCAGUGACCUUGAGUUCAAUUCCUGAUAGACAUUCUAGAAAGGAUCAUUACAGAGAUGUUCUGCAAGGAUCUAGAAACAGAAGCAGUGAUUACCAAGAAGCAGCAUGGCUUCACCAAGCACCCACCAGGAGCCUGAUCCACCUGAUUUUUUGAUAAUCACCAAACUGUUUUUUCUUCUCCAGGCCAAACACGCUCCAUCGCUUCAAUCAAUCUUCGAAUGAUAUGGACUCAAGAUCCUUCACCAUCGUACUUGCCCUUCUUUGAACAUUCGCCACCCUAUUAAUGUCCUUCUUAAACCAAGCUGCCCAGAACUGAAGACAAUACUCCGGAUGAGAACUGACCAAGAGUACAGUGGGGCUUUCACCUCCCCAUUUCUAGAAGCAAUUCCCCUCCUAAUGCAGCCCGAGGUCAUAUUAGUCUUUUUGGUUGCUACAUCACUCUGCUAAUUUAUACUGAGUUGGUAAUCCCCUAAAACUCCUAGAUCUUUUUUUAAAACAACUGCUGCCUCACCAUGCCUGCCCAGGAGAGGAUACUAGACCUGGAGUCAGGAAGACCUGAGUUCAAAUGUAGCCUCAAGACACUAG